AUUGAACGCUGGCGGCAUGCCUUACACAUGCAAGUCGAACGGCAGCGCGGACUUCGGUCUGGCGGCGAGUGGCGAACGGGUGAGUGAUGCAUCGGAACGUGCCCUGGAGUGGGGGAUAACUAUCCGAAAGGAUAGCUAAUACCGCAUAUUCUGUGCGCAGGAAAGCAGGGGAUCGCAAGACCUUGUGCUCUUGGAGCGGCCGAUGUCAGAUUAGCUAGUUGGUGGGGUAACGGCCCACCAAGGCGACGAUCUGAAGCGGGUCUGAGAGGAUGAUCCGCCACACUGGGACUGAGACACGGCCCAGACUCCUACGGGAGGCAGCAGUGGGGAAUUUUGGACAAUGGGGGCAACCCUGAUCCAGCCAUGCCGCGUGAGUGAAGAAGGCCUUCGGGUUGUAAAGCUCUUUCGGCCGGGAAGAAAUCGCAGGGGCUAAUAUCCCCUGUGGAUGACGGUACCGGACUAAGAAGCACCGGCUAACUACGUGCCAGCCGCCGCAGUAAUAC
rnacentral:rRNA from 1 species